rnacentral:lncRNA from 1 species
GCUGGAAUUCAGUCUUGCUGCUCUUCCACUUGGCUCUUUGCUUGACUCUUUCAGCAGCAUACAGGAAAGUGCAUGCCAUCAAAACUCAGCAACACGAGCUGGGAAAAUGAUCUCUUUCACCUGUAGAAACCCCAAUCAAAAUGAUAAAUGGCAGCUUAAAUAGAAGCUUACUAAGAAUCAUCCCUGUGCCGUUUCAUUUUCUUGCCAAUGACGCAAUGCUAGAUGGAAAAGCACAAGUCUUGCCCUUCCUUCCAAAUCAGUUUAACUAACCAUUUUUAUUUCUAUUGGUCCUUUUUGUUCCAGACUUUUACUCUGCUUUGCAUGAAAAUGACGGUUCUUUCUCUCCCUUGGCAGUUCAGAGAAAUUAAACCUAAUGCCCAAGUCCCAAACUGCUAAAAACAAUAUGGCAAAUGUUGUUACAGUGGUACUUCGGGUUACAUACGCUUCAGGUUACAGACUCCGCUAACCCAGAAAUAUUACCUCAGGUUAAGAACUUUGCUUCAGGAUGAGAACAGAAAUCGUGCUCCGGCGGCACAGUGUUAGCAGGAGGCCCCAUUAGCUAAAGUGGUGCUUCAGGUUAAGAACAGUUUCAGGUUAAGAACGGACCUCUGGAAUGAAUUAAGUACUUAACCCGAGGUACCACUGUAUUUAUUUGGCUGCAUGCAUUGCCUUCCCAUAUGACAUUUUGGUUUUUUUAUUAACCGACCAAUCAAAUCAAAUCAAAUCAAAUCACAUCACAUAAAUUCCGAAUUACAAAGCCGAAUUUUAAAUUUUUGUUGAGGGGACCCAUAUUUCAAGUUUUGAAGGGGGAUUCCGAUCAUCUUCUUGCUACUGCGUUCAUAUCCAAAUCAGUCCAAAUAAAGUUCAUAAUUCUAUCCAGUCUUAUCUUGCUGUUUCCACAUCUCAUCUUAUUUGUACAUUUUUUCUUUUUCUUUAUGAUCUCUUCUGAUAAUCUCCUUAAGCAGAUAAACACCAAUUAUAUCCUGUGUGGAUUUUUCCGUUCGACCAAUCCUCAUAUUGUGAUGGUUUCCAUAUAUCAUCACUUUCAUAAAUAACAUCGCUCUUUCCAUCAUUAAUCUCAGGAUCUGUCGUUUUUGAGUCCCACUGAGGAGUCUCACCCACAGUAUAAAAACAGCUCUUUUCCUCCUCCCAGACUCAAGUCCUCCGACAGAGCUUACCAAUAUGGCGACGGUAUUUUUAACUGCGUCAUUCCAGAGCUCUUAAACUUUCCACGCUCUUCUUAAAACAUGCUUUGGUUAGAAAGAUUAUCUCCACACAGACGUAAAUCCACAGCUUAAGUCAUUAAAGUGGCAUUUCUGACUUGUGAGGGGGGGGUCUUGUUUUAUCACAUAGAGGAAAGAAAGAAAGGUUUUUUUCCCCUCCUCCAUCAGUCCCUUUGCCAUACCGAGUCUUAGCUGUCUUCUCAUGAUUGAUUCUUAUUCUUCCGACUCGUCUUGCAUAUCAGAGAACUCUUCAGUUAGCAGUCUUUACUCCCCCUCCUUCCUUGAAAUAUGUGCAUUCGCUUCUUCCUAAUUGUUCCUUUUGAAGUUCUUGCAGCUAGCGGCGCGGAUCAGGGACGGCGUCCAGGAGCACCGAGAUCCACAGGGGGGCAUUCUGCCUAGUGCCCCCAUCCCCUCAAAUUCGGGGGUGGUAUAGGGCACAGCAGGCAUGGGCAGCCCCCCCCCAUAAUCCUGGGGGGGGGGUAGGGAGGCUAUUUACUCCCAUCACAGCCUCCUAAUUACCCCCUGUGGGUCGGAGAGAUGUUAUUGUCAGCCAUCAUCCGAUGCGCCCCUAGUGGCCCCUCAAAAUGUGACAUUUUGUUGUUGCUUUUAAUAGACUUGUGAGCCCCUCCUUACAAGCCCGAUGCAGUGGAAAGGUGACAUAGAAAUGAUUUAAAUAAAUACAUAAAAUAGAGCAGGAGUCACUAUAGUUUACAUUGCAGUUUCUGGUGAUUUGCCAUUCAAAUACACCAAUAACAAACCUUCAGGCUUUGGGGUCUUUAAGAAAAGAAAGUUUUAAUUAUUUCCUCUCACGAGUAAUAAUGCCAGCGAUUUGAAUAGGAGGAAGGCUGAGAUUUGUUUAUGUUGGCUAUACCUUACUCUUCAUCCACCUGCCAGUCUUGUUACAGUAUCAAGUCUGCUUUACUGUUCCAAACAAAGCAGGAGACAAGUUGUUUCUUUGGUGGUUACAGCAUAUGGAGAUCUUUUUGUGAAUUGCUAUUUUCUUUGGUCACCAAAGGCUAACAUCGCUUUGCAUUUUCAUUAAGUGAGGGAUAUCAAAAGCCCCAAAAUAAGCAAGGUGAAAUGUUGCAGAGCAACAGAGGCUUCUUUAGGAGAGGAUAAUUUGAAAAUAAAAUCAGAAUGUAAUAGCUCCACAGGCAAGAGAGGGGUGGUGGUGGUGGAAUCAAGCUGGUUUGUUUUUCAAAAACGUUUUUUAAAAUAAUCCUUCCUCCUCUCUACUGAUGGGGCUUAUUCUUUGCUUGAAGAGCAGUCGCUAGGAAAGUUCUCACAUUCUCUCAAUGAGGUUGCUGCACACUUAGCUCCUGAUCCUAUAAUCAGCUUUGUGUGGGAGCACUCCUGAGUUGUUUGUUUUCAUUAAACAGGAGAAGGUACUUCUGUUUAAUCUGCAUCCCACAUGCUGACAAAGAAUUGUGCUAUAUUUUGAUUCUUUCCAGAAUAACAGGCAGUCUUAUAUUAGGAAAAUAUAUGGCAAUAAAUCUUAGAGAGAACGUUCGCCAACUCCUGUGACAUCCUCAGAAACUGACCAGACUGAGACUUGAAUGUUACAGUGUCCUCCACCACACUUGAGGGCAGAAGGUUAGCUUAGGGCAUGCAGAGAUAGGCCCCAUGGGGCACACAAUUUUGUCCUCCAACAUCUCUUUUUUUAAAAAAAAUGAUAUUUAUUGGAAAAAAAUUUUUUUUUAAAGUUACAAAAAAAAACAAAGUAGAAAAAGAGAAAAACAAACCACUUCCAACAAUACAAAUUCAAAUUC